rnacentral:rRNA from 1 species
UACAGAGGGUGCAAGCGUUGUUCGGAAUUAUUGGGCGUAAAGGGCGCGUAGGCGGUGCGGUAAGUCUGUAGUGAAAUCUCUGGGCUCAACUCAGAGUCUGCUAUAGAAACUGCCGUGCUAGAGUGUGGGAGAGGUGAGUGGAAUUCCCGGUGUAGCGGUGAAAUGCGUAGAUAUCGGGAGGAACGCCUGUGGCGAAAGCGGCUCACUGGACCACAACUGACGCUGAGGCGCGAAAGCUAGGGGAGCAAACAGG